rnacentral:rRNA from 1 species
AGCGAACGCUGGCGGCAGGCCUAACACAUGCAAGUCGAACGGACCCUUCGGGGUUGGUGGCGGACAGGUGAGUAACACGUGGGAACGUGCCUUUAGGUUCGGAAUAGCUCCUGGAAACGGGUGGUAAUGCCGAAUGUGCCCUUCGGGGGAAAGAUUUAUCGCCUUUAGAGCGGCCCGCGUCUGAUUAGCUAGUUGGUGAGGUAAUGGCUCACCAAGGCGACGAUCAGUAGCUGGUCUGAGAGGAUGACCAGCCACAUUGGGACUGAGACACGGCCCAAACUCCUACGGGAGGCAGCAGUGGGGAAUCUUGCGCAAUGGGCGAAAGCCUGACGCAGCCAUGCCGCGUGGAUGAUGAAGGUCUUAGGAUUGUAAAAUCCUUUCACCGGUGAAGAUAAUGACUGUAGCCGGAGAAGAAGCCCCGGCUAACUUCGUGCCAGCCGCCGCCGUAA